GUCGGUAAAUGGCGCAAGAGGGAGAGUCUUCUUCUUCUUCACUCGAGACGACACGGCAGCCAGAAGAGCCGACACCAGCCUCUCCUGCGCACCUCGGCGGCACUCCAGCGCCAGCGGGCUCCCAAUCCACCCCGGAGCGAUCCCGGAAAAGGAGUUUGAGCGCCGGCGAGGAGGAGGAGGAGGAAGAGGCCAAGAAGAGAGAUCUGGGGAAGGAGGAGGAGGAAGAGGUAGUGUCUUCUGCGCCGAGCUCGCCGCUUUGCGAGCCCUGCAUCGCCGGGGAUCCGGAGAUAUACGACAGAUUUCGCUAUCCAGACGUGUACCGCGCCUUCGAGGCUGAAGAAGACAAGUUUCAAGAAGCAUUAGUUCGUCAGACGGAACUGCCCACUUUGAAGAUCUUCGGAUAUUCCACCUGCCUCUCUAAUGAUCCAAAUCUUCUUCCUAUCCGUGAAUUGGGAACAAGGGCAGUGCUUCGUGCAGCUAAAUUUCUACUUCGGCUCUCAUCAUUUCUUGAUGACAAGCCAUUACAAAGCUCCUCUGGUUUCUGGAUCGAGUGGGAUCAGGAGAAUAAAACAGGAAUUGUUUUGACCACUGCACAUUUACUCCGCUCAAAAUGCCCAUCCAUGGACCAUUGGUUAGGCAAAGACCAAUAUGUUCCUCAUGCUAAGGUUAUUGUUCACCUCUUGAAUGACACCACCACAGAAGGCCACCUGCUCUACCACCAGGAGCACUAUGAUCUUGCUUUUUUUAGGCUUAGAGUGGAUCAACCUGUUCAGUUACCUUCUUUUGAUUGCAACAUAAAAUGUGCUCAAGAGGUUUUCAUGCUUGGAAGAGAUGAAUUUAUGAAAUUAAGAAUAACCAGUGGUAGGGUGGAAUAUUUAAAUCCAAGCUUGUUUCAUAGAUAUCAUUAUAUCUAUGUUCAUCGGACAGAUUGCAAAGAUCGUCACAAUAAGUAUGAUGACGGAGGGCCAGUCAUUGACCUUGAUGGAAAUGUUGUGGGUAUAAUCAACAAUACCGUAAAAGGGUCUUUUAUGCCUACUUCUAUUUUGGUCAAGUGUUUGGAUUUGUUUAGAAAGCAUAGGUGCAUCCCUCGGCUCCACCUUGGACUAAAGUUUAGUGCCAUUGAACUUCUAGACCCUGCUCAUGUUGAGUGGAUAUGGCGGAAGUGUCAUAUUGACCAUGGUCUUAUUAUUAAAACGGUCUCAAGUGGGUCUCUUGCUGAGAAGCUUGGGAUCUGUAGAGGUGAUGUUCUUUAUCGUUUGGACGGAAAAGAUAUUUCUACUACGGUCGAGUUGGAAAAAAUGUUGCUGGACAUUUGCUUGGACUGUUUUGGCACAGAAAUAUACUGUAAUGACAAAGUGAAUAUCUCGAUUGAGGUAUUUGACGUGCGCCAAGUCUCUGGAGGACUAGAACAUUGACUGUUGAUGUAUCUGAUAGAGGAGAAAUUGUUGUGAUAGACGUUAAUUGUUGUGGCUUAUUCUUCGCAUAUCUGCUUGACUCAUUUCUAAAAGGAUUGCUUCUCGUACUUUUACCUUGGGAGAGGAAGGAUCCCUGCUUCAGUUUCACGAGGGGCAAGAGAUGUCGAAGAUUCAAGGAAUUGAAGCUCCACCAAGCGAAGGUCUAGAAGAGGAAACCUAACAGCUUGUUUGGCUACCAUCGAUCAUUUGGGCACGGAAUCAUGUAAUUCAUUUUGGAUUCUAAGAACCAACUUGUUUGGCUGCACUGGAAUUGAAUAUAGGAAUUCAAUAUGAAAGCCCAUAGAAUUGUACAUAUACCUAAAGCCAAUUCCUACCAAGAAGGCAUCAUUUCUCUAGAUUUAUCUCUUAUUUUAAUCCAUGUGGCAGACAAACAAGAUUUUUGAAUUCAGAAUUCAAAUUCAACCAAAUGAAAUUUUCUCAAAAAUUUACUCCCUCUGUCCCAUAUUAAGUGAUUUAAGUUUGUCCAAAUAUGAAUAUAUCUAUGCUUGAAAAGAAUCUAGAUAUAUGUAAUAGAAAGUCAUUUAACAUGAGACGGAGGGAGUAUUUUAUUUCAUUUCUACCAAAUAAAAUGAAGUGUGGAUGUCUUCUGAAGACUACGUCUAUUCAAUUAAAGUUGCGCAAGAGCAAGAGCAAUGUGAGCAGAUCUAAAUAAAAAGCUAGAACCAAGUCUUAGAAAAUGAGAAGUGGUGCAACGUAUCUUUUUUUAGCCUCAACUUGUAGGACCCACUUAUUAUAUUUUUUAAUUCCCCACCUCCACUUUCCCCAUCCUAUUCUUCAAUCUUCACGAGAGCUGUUCGUACUGCCGCCGCUAGCCUCGGCCUCAUCUUCCUCCCGGCGUCCUGGCCUCGGCCUCCUCCUCCUGGCCUCCUUUCUCAGUCUGCUCCGCGGCCGUUGUCGCCAUCAAGCGCUGCCUGUCUGCCACCAAGCUUCGGCCUCGUCCCGGCCUCCCGCCUCAAUCUGCUACUACCCAUCGCUGACGCGGCCAAGCGCCGCUGCACGCAUCGGCCUCCUCCUCCUCACGGCUGAUGACGCCGCCAAGCGACCCACGCGCCGCCGUCUUUGAUUGGAGCAGCGAUAGCCGGACGGAGGAGCAGCGCUCGUGAGCGUGGGGCCUACAAAGUCAACUAUCGUUGUAGAACCGAUGCUUCGACUUGAGUCGAGUCUAGCGAAAAUUUCUUAGCCAGUGCAUGCUGCAAUGGCUAGACCCGGGUCUUAAUCUUCUUAGCCCCUUCUUAGCCCUGGACUUGCUCUAAGACCUGCGGAGACUUUUCUUUUGGAAUUUCGGCUGAACUGUUUCUGUCACGUUAUCCUUGAUAGUGGAACCUCAGCAAGUUGCUGUGUUGAUGUGAA